AGAGUUUGAUCCUGGCUCAGGACGAACGCUGGCGGCGUGCUUUAUACAUGCAAGUCAAGGAGAAAGUUUUCUUCGGAAAAUUAUUAAACUGGCGAACGGGUGAGUAACGCGUAGGCAACCUGCCCUAAUGAUUGGGAUAACAUCGGGAAACUGGUGCUAAUACCGGAUACUGCAACAACACCUUCGGGUGUAGUUGUCAAAGCGGGCUUCGGCUCGCGCUUUAGGAUGGGCCUGCGUCCGAUUAGCUUGUUGGUAAGGUAACGGCUUACCAAGGCAAUGAUCGGUAGCUGGUUUGAGAGGAUGAUCAGCCACACUGGGAUUGAGAUACGGCCCAGACUCCUACGGGAGGCAGCAGUAGGGAAUUUUGCGCAAUGGGGGAAACCCUGACGCAGCAACGCCGCGUGACCGAUGAAGCAUUUAGGUGCGUAAAGGUCUGUCGUAAGGGAAGAAAAGUUCGGAUGUAAAUAAUGUUCGAAUCUGACGGUACCUUACAAGAAAGCACCGGCUAACUUAGUGCCAGCAGCCGCGGUAAUACUAGGGGUGCAAGCGUUGUCCGGAAUCACUGGGCGUAAAGGGUCCGUAGGCGUUUCAAUAAGUCAUUUGUGAAAGACACCGGCUUAACCGGUGGCCCGCAUUUGAAACUGUUGAAAUAGAGUAUAGGAGAGGAAAGUGGAAUUCCUGGUGUAGCGGUGACAUGCGUAGAUAUCAGGAGGAACACCAAUGGCGAAGGCAGCUUUCUGGCCUAUUACUGACGCUGAGGGACGAAAGCGUGGGGAGCGAACAGGAUUAGAUACCCUGGUAGUCCACGCCGUAAACGAUGAGUACUUGGUGUCGGGGGAAUCGACCCCCUCGGUGUCGUAGCCAACGCGUUAAGUGUUCCGCCUGGGGAGUACGCACGCAAGUGUGAAACUCAAAGGAAUUGACGGGGGCCCGCACAAGCGGUGGAGUAUGUGGUUUAAUUCGAUGCAACGCGAAGAACCUUACCAGGGUUUGACAUCCUGCGAAUCUCUUGGAAACGAGAGAGUGCCUUCGGGAGCGCAGUGACAGGUGGUGCAUGGCUGUCGUCAGCUCGUGUCGUGAGAUGUUGGGUUAAGUCCCGCAACGAGCGCAACCCACGUCUUUAGUUGCCAGCAUUUAGUUGGGCACUCUAGAGAGACCGCCGGUGAUAAACCGGAGGAAGGUGUGGAUGACGUCAAGUCAUCAUGCCCCUUACAUCCUGGGCUACACACGUACUACAAUGCUACGGACAAAGGGCAGCAAGUUCGCGAGGACAAGCAAAUCCCAUAAACCGUGGCUCAGUUCAGAUCGUAGGCUGCAACUCGCCUACGUGAAGGAGGAAUCGCUAGUAAUCGCAGGUCAGCAUACUGCGGUGAAUACGUUCCCGGGCCUUGUACACACCGCCCGUCACACCAUGGAAGUUGGCCACGCCCGAAGCCGUUACUCCAACCCUUGUGGAGGAGGACGUCGAAGGUGGGGCUGAUGACUGGGGUGAAGUCGUAACAAGGUAACC
rnacentral:rRNA from 1 species